rnacentral:tRNA from 1 species
GAAAAAUUAGUUAAUUAAUAACAGUAGUAUGUCAAACUAAAAUAAUCAAUUUUGAUAUUUUUCU